rnacentral:rRNA from 1 species
GACGAACCGAGCGAACGUUGUUCGGAAUCACUGGGCUUAAAGGGCGCGUAGGCGGGUGCUCAAGUCCGGGGUGAAAUCCUCCAGCUCAACUGGAGAACUGCCUCGGAUACUGGGUGCCUCGAGGGUGGUAGGGGUAUGCGGAACUAUCGGUGGAGCGGUGAAAUGCGUUGAUAUCGAUAGGAACUCCGGUGGCGAAGGCGGCAUACUGGACCACUUCUGACGCUGAGGCGCGAAAGCGUGGGGAGCGAACAGG